rnacentral:rRNA from 1 species
CAGCAGCCACGGUAAUACGAAGGGUGCAAGCGUUAAUCGGAAUUACUGGGCGUAAAGCGUGCGCAGGCGGUUUGUUAAGACAGAUGUGAAAUCCCCGGGCUCAACCUGGGAACUGCAUUUGUGACUGGCCGGCUAGAGUAUGGCAGAGGGAGGUGGAAUUCCACGUGUAGCAGUGAAAUGCGUAGAUAUGUGGAGGAACACCGAUGGCGAAGGCAGCCUCCUGGGCCAAUACUGACGCUCAUGCACGAAAGCGUGGGGAGCAAACAGGAUUAGAUACCCGCGUAGUCCAUGUCUCUUAUAC